AGCUGUGUGCAGUGGCAGUAUCAUAGCCAAUGAGGUUUAUCUGAGGCAUGAUUAUUGCUAAUUUAAAAAAGGAACAGUUUAUGUAAUUAUAAAAGAGCAUUCUAUAAAUGUGCAUAAAAAUAUUGGAUAGUACGCAAAUGA
rnacentral:snRNA from 1 species